CGGAUGACAAGAAACUAACGAGGAUUCCUCUAGUAACGGCGAGUGAAGCAGGAAAUAGCCCAGCACCGAAUCCCCUCUGCCCUCGCGUGGAGCGGGAAAUGUGGUGUUAGGGAGGCGCGCUGCGUUCGCGGUCUCGGUGCCCACGUCCUCGUGAUCGUGGCCCUUCGCCCCGUCGAGGGUGUAAGGCCCUUCGUGGCACCGGACUCACGACGUCCGCCAGCCUCCCGGGAGUCGGGUUGCUUGAGAUCGCAACCCAAAGUGGGUGGUAAACUCCAUCUAAGGCUAAAUACCGGACACGAGUCCGAUAGUACACAAGUACCGUGAGGGAAAGUUGAAACGAACUUUGAACAGAGAGUUCAACAGUACCUGAAACCGCACAGAGUCAAACGGGUGNAGCCACAUUUUCUCUCUCCCNGNGCAUUCANCCCGCUGCCNU
rnacentral:rRNA from 1 species